ACAUUUCUGAACAUAUCAGAAAAUUUCGCGAUCACUUCACAAUCAUAAGUCAUAGAUCAUCAUCUCAUAGUCAAAUAUCAUCAUAAAGUCUAUUUCUUAGGUCAACGAGACCUUAAACAUGCAUUAGGAAGAAGUCGGGACUAAACUGAACACAUAUAAAAUUUUCCUAAAAUCUAACAUUUUUCGAAGUUUCAUAGGUCAGACACCCAUGUGGUCAGGCCGUGUGCCUCACACGACAUUAGACAGAUCGUGUGUCUAGGCCGUGGCAAAACAGGGCAUACAUACUGACUUGAUCACACGGCUAGUCACACGCCCGUGUGUCCAGGCCAUGUGGCACAAAAUUAGGCUUGGAUUAAGCCACAUUUCUUCUCCUACGCAUGCAUAUCUAAUCCACAUCAUUUUGUACCAUUUCAUGCAUACCUUAUCCAAAUCAUACACAUAAUCAUAUUUUCAACCAAUAAAUAUGCCUCAAAGCCAUUCAAUAUAUGCUUUAUAAAUACAUAAGUUGAAUCAUUUGCACAUCACCUUAAUGGUAUUUGAAUACCUAAUAAAAACCGAACAUUUUUCUUCAUCAUUCUAUACAUGCGCAUAUUAAACCAAAUAAAUCAUAUCACAUGGCUUUUUUGUCCAUUAGCAUAUACAACAUUAACAACUUCACAAAAUUGUCAAGUAUA
rnacentral:lncRNA from 1 species